UACAGAGGUCUCAAGCGUUGUUCGGAUUCAUUGGGCGUAAAGGGUGCGUAGGCGGCGCGGUAAGUCGGGUGUGAAAUCUCGGGGCUUAACUCCGAAACUGCAUUCGAUACUGCCGUGCUUGAGGACUGGAGAGGAGACUGGAAUUUACGGUGUAGCGGUGAAAUGCGUAGAUAUCGUAAGGAAGACCAGUGGCGAAGGCGGGUCUCUGGACAGUUCCUGACGCUGAGGCACGAAGGUCAGGGGAGUAAACGGG
rnacentral:rRNA from 1 species